AUUGAACGCUGGCGGCAGGCCUAACACAUGCAAGUCGAGCGGAUGAAGGGAGCUUGCUCCUGGAUUCAGCGGCGGACGGGUGAGUAAUGCCUAGGAAUCUGCCUGGUAGUGGGGGAUAACGUCCGGAAACGGGCGCUAAUAACGCAUACGUCCUGAGGGAGAAAGUGGGGGAUCUUCGGACCGCACGCUAUCAGAUGAGCCUAGGUCGGAUUAGCUAGUUGGUGGGGUAAAGGCCUACCAAGGCGACGAUCCGUAACUGGUCUGAGAGGAUGAUCGGUCACACUGGAACUGAGACACGGUCCAUGCUCCUACGGGAGGCAGCAGUGGGGAAUAUUGGACAGUGGGCGAAAGCCUGAUACAGCCAGGCCGCGUGUGUGAAGAAGGUCUUCCGAUUGUAAAGCACUUUAAGUUGGGAGGAAGGGCAGUAAGUUAAUACCUUGCUGUUUUGACGUUACCAACAGAAUAAGCACCGGCUAACUUCGUG
rnacentral:rRNA from 1 species